CCUGGCCUUGACAUACUAAGAACUUUCCAGAGAUGGAUUGGUGCCUUCGGGAACUUAGAUACAGGUGCUGCAUGGCUGUCGUCAGCUCGUGUCGUGAGAUGUUGGGUUAAGUCCGCAACGAGCGCAACCCUUUUCCUAUUUGCCAGCGGGUAAUGCCGGGAACUUUAAGGAUACUGCCAGUGACAAACUGGAGGAAGGCGGGGACGACGUCAAGUCAUCAUGGCCCUUACGGCCAGGGCUACACACGUGCUACAAUGGUCGGUACAAAGGGUUGCUACCUCGCGAGAGGAUGCUAAUCUCAAAAAGCCGAUCGUAGUCCGGAUCGCAGUCUGCAACUCGACUGCGUGAAGUCGGAAUCGCUAGUAAUCGCGGAUCAGAAUGCCGCGGUGAAUACGUUCCCGGGCCUUGUACACACCGCCCGUCACACCAUGGGAGUUUGUUGCACCAGAAGUAGGUAGUCUAACCGCAAGGAGGACGCUUACCACGGUGUGGCCGAUGACUGGGGUGAAGUCGUAACAAGGUAAGCGUAGAUGA
rnacentral:rRNA from 1 species